rnacentral:sRNA from 1 species
ACGCGUCUGCAGGCCAAGGUCAAGUUGAAAGUUGCUGUCUGGCCUCGACG